CCAUGCUUUUCUUCCAAGAUCUGAGAUGAUUGGGUGCAUUCUGGUCAUUUGGUCAUAGGUGGUGUAUGGACAUCUGUGUAAAAGAGCUUAAUAGCUCAUUACAUUGCUCAAUUAUAAAUAAAGAUUGCGAUUCUAUGUGUCUGUUGUUGCAUCUGUAUGUUAUACAAUAACCGCACGCAAUCGUUAAAAUGCUUUUCUGUGUUUCUUUGCCGCCGUUUUCCCGUGGCCCACAGCUCAUUGACAGGAAUUGGCAGCUGGAAUCUCUGCAGGCAGAGAUUCAGUGGUACGAACGUGUGGUGGUGGAGCUGCACGCCGAGUUGGCGCCCUACCGCGACAACAGGCAGAGCGCACACUCAGAGCAGCAGCAUCUGCAGAGCGAGGUGGAGCUUCCUACGGUUGAUGAAGAGGACAUCUCUGGCUGCUCACUGGAGCCCAGCGUUCAAGAAGCCUCCUAAGACCUGCCCCCCAAGGCCUCCAACACCCUCUGCGUCUCUCACAUUGACUAACACACGCACAUAUCGACUGACACACACACACACACAUCGACUCACACACACACACACAUGGACUUACACACACAAUUACAUACGGACUUAUACACACAUAUCGACUAAGACACACACACACGUGGACUUACACACACACAUGGACCCAUGCACACACAUCGACUUACACACACACAUCGACUCACACACACUGCCCUACACACACACAUACACAUAUGGACUCAAA